CACGUAGGGUGCGAGCGUUGUCCGGAAUUAUUGGGCGUAAAGAGCUCGUAGGCGGUGUGUCGCGUCGGCCGUGAAAACCUGCAGCUUAACUGUGGGCUUGCGGUCGAUACGGGCAUCACUGGAGUUCGGCAGGGGAGACUGGAAUUCCUGGUGUAGCGGUGAAAUGCGCAGAUAGUCAGGAGGAACACCGGUGGCGAAGGCGGGUCUCUGGGCCGAUACUGACGCUGGAGGAG
rnacentral:rRNA from 1 species